CGGGACGGGUGAGUAACGCGUGGGUAACCUGCCUCAUACAGGGGGAUAACAGUUAGAAAUGACUGCUAAUACCGCAUAAGACCACAGGAUCGCAUGAUCCGGUGGUAAAAACUCCGGUGGUAUGAGAUGGACCCGCGUCUGAUUAGCUAGUUGGUGGGGUAACGGCUCACCAAGGCGACGAUCAGUAGCCGACCUGAGAGGGUGACCGGCCACAUUGGGACUGAGACACGGCCCAG
rnacentral:rRNA from 1 species